UCUAUUACAGUUUAUUGAGAGAACAUUCAAUUGAUGGCACUGGCUGGGCUCCAACUAGAACAUUAAAGGAUCUCUUGAAUUUUGAUGAUCCUUUGAAUAUUGAGGCUGCAGAACACCAUUUGCGUGACAAGGAGGACUUUCGGAAUAAAGUUGAAGAUUACAUUAAGCGCUAUGCAAGAUGAUGGUGGGAGAUGGAUGGCAGGACCAUGGAUUUCACAGUAUAGAGUUGUCUUUAACUUUAAACAACACAAAAAACCUGGAUUGUACCAGUCCUGUGUCCAUGUUGUAUUGAAGAAGAAAACUAACUUCAUACUUGUCCAUAUUAAAAGGAGAGUUCAGCAUAAAUACAGCAAGAAAUUGUGUAUGUUGGUUGAAAAAAAGUUGUUUGCUUACUUAUAAAAUGUUUACUCUUCUGAAACUGUACUGUAUAUCCUGUUGAUGAGAGAUGCUUGAGAAAUUUUAAAAAAAAUCACUAUUGAAAUUGUAUUUACACUUUUUUUAAAUUUUCUUCUUGCCUACUAAAAAUAGUGAUGCGUUUCUGGAACACUUCAAAUUGGCAAUAAAAUGGUCUCCCUGUGACCCAAACCUUAAUGCUGUUGCAUUUGAUGGAGCAGAAAUAAUACCAACUUUCCUGGGAAGUCACUUAACAAAAGUGAUCAAAGUUUAAUGAAAUGCAUAAAAUGAAGUAUAUCUAAUAUAAAAAUUUUAGUCAAUGUAAGAACAUUUUGGCACAAAUUUGAAAUUUGUACUCUGCUGCUUUCAAUUCUUGUUUAGACAACAAUAUUUUAGUUUGUAUGCAUUUUGUGAGGUAGUUAAAAUUAACAGACUAAUCCAUAAUUUAAGUAUAUAUGUGUAGUAUUAGUAAAAAAUCAAAAUGUAUAUUUUGUGCAAGUGCAAUGAAAGACUAUUAAAAAAAGUCUUUGGUUUUCAGAUCUAGAUUUGGAGGUGAAAUUUUGGAGGCUUUUACAUAAAUUGGUGAACAUUUAUCCAAGCCCUAUUUGUUUGGAGACCCAUCAAAGUGUAUUUUCCACAUUUCUUCCCUCAAGAGCAAAAUACUGAUCUUUCAUUUUAAAAUAACACACGGUGCACCUUUAUUUAAGGCUCUUAUGAGGUGUUUUUUUUUUUAAUAAGAUGAAGGGAUGAUCAUUUUACUGUAAGUAGCUAUCUAUCAAAUAAAUAGUAAGGCUAUGUGAAAGCAGAAAUCCUUCAGGAAAGGGUAGUAGGGUAGUCGUGUGCCUCAGGAAUAGUUUCAAAGCACAUGCCAAGAAGCAUAUUAGGUCUGUUAUAUAAAAAAUAAUGCUGUGUUUAUUACAUAUCAUAGCUUCCCAUUACUUCUGUGGACUGACCAGAAUGAUAUCCAAUAUCCUAUUCAGUCCAGUGAUAAGUGAAUGAAGAGUCAUAGAAAUGGGAACAUGUAGUGGAGGCAAAAUGGAUUUGAUUCAAGAUUUUAUAAAUAGACAAACCAUAGAAAUAAAUGUUUGUGUGAUUUCA